rnacentral:rRNA from 1 species
UACGGGGGGGGCAAGCGUUGUUCGGAAUUACUGGGCGUAAAGGGCUCGUAGGCGGCCAACUAAGUCAGACGUGAAAUCCCCAGGCUCAACCUGGGAACUGCGUCUGAUACUGGAUGGCUUGAAUCCGGGAGAGGGAUGCAGAAUUCCAGGUGUAGCGGUGAAAUGCGCAGAUAUCAGGAGGAACACCGGUGGCGAAGGCGGUUCUCUGGGCAUGUCCUGACGCUGAGGAGCGAAAGUGUGGGGAGCGAACAGG